CAAAAUUGCAGCUUGAACGCCCGAAGUGGGUCAGAAACAUUGUGAAACAACUAUGACAAACGCUCUCGCCAUUACCGCAUUACGUGCGAUUUUAUGUGAAACUCCUUCUCACCAUGGUCAAAUAAGUGUGGAGCAUAGAGUUUGUCAUUCCUCUGCAUCGAAACCAGCGGUAGGAUUCAAACCCCAAAUGCUACUAAUGCGUGGGCCAGUUGACGACACAUCAACCAGUCGCUCGGAAGAUACUUUUAACAGACAAACGUCAACUUCCAAGGUGGAGAAUGUCAAUUGUGACGAUGAAGACGUUACAAGUGACGAAAAAGUGUCACAUAUAAUUUUGACAAAUAAUGUCGAGUAAUUUCAAGUAGAACAGUCAAAAAAUUUUUAUAAAAACAUUAAACAGUAUGUAUGUAAAUAUAAUAUUAUUUACAUUUUCGACUUCAGAAUUGUUACCUAACUUCUUCCAUUUUCUCAAAAGGUUAAAACAUCAACCUGGCGCGUAUGAGGACAUUUGUCAUUUUAUUAGAAAUGGGUUUAAACUCGGGAGGAAGACUAGACUAGACUUCUCCUUAAGGUUCCCAUGGAUACAGAGGCUAAAUCCUGCACUGCCCCAAUGUCAACGCUCAGAAAUUGCAUUUGAAUACAUGGGAUAGGGGCAGAGUGAGAUUACGCGCCAACGCG